rnacentral:rRNA from 1 species
GAUGAAUGCUGGCGGCGUGCCUAACACAUGCAAGUCGAGCGGCAGCGAGUUUUACACUGAAUUCUGGAAGCUUCUGGAUAAUAUAGAAGAUCUAUUCAAGGAUUUUGUGUAAAAUGUCGGCGAGCGGCGGACGGCUGAGUAACGCGUAGAAAUUUGCCCCAAAGUGAGGAAUAACUGCCCGAAAGGGUAGCUAAUGCCGCAUAUGGUCUUCGGAUUAAAGCCUUCGGGUACUUUGGGAGAAGCCUGCGUUGGAUUAGGUAGUUGGUAGGGUAAUGGCCUACCAAGCCGACGAUCCAUAGCUGGUCUGAGAGGAUGAUCAGCCAGACUGGAACUGAGACACGGUCCAGACUCCUACGGGAGGCAGCAGUGAGGAAUCUUCCACAAUGGGCGAAAGCCUGAUGGAGCAACGCCGCGUGAAGGAUGAAGGCCUUCGGGUUGUAAACUUCUUUUAUGAGUGAAGAAUAUGACGGUAACUCAUGAAUAAGCACCGGCUAACUACGUGCCAGCAGCCGCGGUCAUACGUAGGGUGCAAGCAUUAUCCGGAGUGACUGGGCGUAAAGAGUUGCGUAGGCGGUUUAAUAAGUGAAUAGUGAAACCUGGUGGCUCAACCAUACAGACUAUUAUUCAAACUGUUAAACUCGAGAAUGGUAGAGGUAACUGGAAUUUCUAGUGUAGGAGUGAAAUCCGUAGAUAUUAGAAGGAACACCGAUGGCGUAGGCAGGUUACUGGGCCAUUUCUGACGCUCAGGCACGAAAGCGUGGGGAGCGAACCGG